UACGGAGGAUCCAAGCGUUAUCCGGAUUAUUGGGUUUAAAGGGUGCGUAGGUGGCUUUUUAAGUCAGGGGUGAAAGACGGUAGCUUAACUAUCGCAGUGCCGUUGAUACUGAAGAGCUUGAAUGAACUAGAGGUAGGCGGAAUGUGACAAGUAGCGGUGGAAAUGCAUAGAUAUGUCACAGAACACCAAUUGCGAAGGCAGCUUACUAUGGUUAGAUUGCACUGAGGCACGAAAGCGUGGGGAUCAAACAGG
rnacentral:rRNA from 1 species